AGUACGAAUUUUUAACUGAAAAAAUGUGUAUCACGGUAUGAAUGAGAAAAUGGCUACGUAUUUAAGGUUAGUAACUCUCGAUUUUGUCUCUGAAAGUUUGACUAUUGAUUCCAGAGGAAAAAAGGGCUGCUAGGUGAUGGAGUUGAGUUGAGCUUAGAUUUAAAUCACAUGUCCUACCUGGUACAUUUACAUUUGCAGGAUGCUUUUCUGGCUUGACACAUUUAGACCUGGUACAUUUGCAUUAUGUAUCCAUGAUCCUAGACGUAUCCGUGGAUACAUGCCGUGUAUGAGGAGCUGAAUGUGCUGAUAUUAACAUAAUGCAAAGCCUGCUCCUUUUUGCUGCAUAGGGAAACAAAGUUCAGUACCUUCAUCACACACCUAAAGGCUGAUGAUAUUCUAAAUCAUUCACUGAAAAUAAAACUGAAUCAUUCACUUAAAUUACUCAUGCAACACCUUGCCCAACAUUUAAGUUUGAUUCAGUUUGAUGUACCGCAAUUUGAUCUACUAAAAUUCAGUUUGAUUCUGUUUGCUAUACUCUGCUCAGGUACUACCCUCUGUUCAACAUCAUGGAUAUACCAGUAUAUUGAUCUACUACAGUAAUUUCCUCCAUUUUUUCUUGUCCAGUUUGAUUCAGUCCAGACAUCUCAAUUUUGAACAUGUAACUUGCAUAGAACUCUACUCCAAUUUUUUUAUCUUAAUGUUCUGUCAUCAAUCUUGCAUAGAAGAUGCAUAGAACGGAGCAAACAGGUGGCGUUCAAGGUGAGGGACAAGCCAGCUAAGCAUAAGGCCGACAAUUGGGCGCGUGUGGUGGGCGUGUUUGUUCUUGGAAAGGAGUGGCAGUUUAAGGACAUCUUCAAAAAAGGCGCACGUUGAUCUUGUGCCUGCAUGCAACAUGAUACUGAAUGUUUCAAGUUCAGUGUGGGAUAUGAAGAUGCAAAUCCUGAACUAAGAAGUAAGGGACUGAAUGCUCGGGUUGAGGCGCAUGUUGAGUAUGCAGCAUCAAUCAGUAUGCGGCUUGGUGACGAUGAGGACGACGUCGGGAGGAGCACGGCGAGGACGACGGACGCCGAUGGGGCUUCAACUAUCGAUGCUGCCGUCGGAGGACAACGUGAGUCAGCCGCAGGUGGAGCUAGCGGCAGAGCAGCAGCAGGAGCACGGGCGGCAGGGAAGCAGGUCGAGCGCUCCUGGUACACCGAUCAAGACACAGGCACGUGUACUAGAUCACACCCCGAUUCCAGGCUUGUACAGCAACUGAACAAACAUUUGCCAGCUGAGGACUUGAAGUAGUCUGCGUUCACACUCCGGGUUUCAGUUGAACAUGCUGCAAUUUAUUUACAAUCUAGGAAUCUGAUGGCAUAAGGCUUCUUAUUAGCUGGCAUCUGAGUUGGAAUGGAUCUGGGGAAUGACUUGGUUCAUGUUCAACGAACUUCCCUGGAUGGACAGCAUAGUUAGUUUCCGGUGAAAUGCCUACUGGAUGG